AUAGGUCAGAGGUGGAAGCAUGGCGACAUGUGGAGCUGACUGAUACUAAUCGAUCGAGGACUUAACCACA
rnacentral:rRNA from 1 species